ensembl:lncRNA
CUCAUGUUCAUCUUCUAUUGUUGUUUCUUUUUGCGCGUCCCCUUGCAAUGGCUCGCGAGCCAGUUACCAUAGUAACAAUAAACUUAGCCUCAGGCUUUCAGUUUGUUCUCACAGAUUUGACGAGCCUCGGUCAAGGAAGAUUAUCACAAAAAAAUGUCAGAAAAUGAAGACUCUCCUAUGGAUGCCAAUGGUACAGAGAAAGAGACAGCCGAUCGUGGGUCAGAAGUACCUGGCGUGCCCCUGGAAAAUAAGCAAGGAUUUGGGGAGGAAAGCACUCUGUCAUCUCAUGAAAAAGGAAAUGAUGAUAUAGCAAAACUCGCAUCCUCACAUCAGGAUCUAGAAGUGAAACCACCACUAACCACCAUAAAAACGGGUGUCAGGGAAGCGCUCUGUGAUACUAUCUAAUGAAGCCCGAAAGGAGAAAAUAAAACAGGUCAAAGCUCUCA